rnacentral:rRNA from 1 species
AACGAACGCUGGCGGCAUGCCUAACACAUGCAAGUCGAACGAGACCUUCGGGUCUAGUGGCGCACGGGUGCGUAACGCGUGGGAACCUGCCCUUAGGUUCGGAAUAACUCCCCGAAAGGGGUGCUAAUACCGGAUAAUGUCUUCGGACCAAAGAUUUAUCGCCUUUGGAUGGGCCCGCGUUGGAUUAGCUAGUUGGUAGGGUAAAAGCCUACCAAGGCGACGAUCCAUAGCUGGUCUGAGAGGAUGAUCAGCCACACUGGGACUGAGACACGGCCCAGACGAGAUGGUGGGGGAGAUGUGGGAAAUAGUGUGAAAGAGGUGAAGGACGGAGGCAGUAGUGGGGAGUGUGUGAUGAUGGCAUUAGGUUGGAAACACUCUUUCCGCGGGAGUGAUAAAGACGUUAGGGGGAGAAGAAGCUCCUGCCAACCACGUGCAAGACGCGGCCGUAAUAGUUAGAAGCGCAUAGCUCUGAA